GACGAACGCUGGCGGCGUGCCUAAUACAUGCAAGUAGAACGCUGAAGAGAGGAGCUUGCUCUUCUUGGAUGAGUUGCGAACGGGUGAGUAACGCGUAGGUAACCUGCCUUGUAGCGGGGGAUAACUAUUGGAAACGAUAGCUAAUACCGCAUAACAAUGGAUGACACAUGUCAUUUAUUUGAAAGGGGCAAUUGCUCCACUACAAGAUGGACCUGCGUUGUAUUAGCUAGUAGGUGAGGUAACGGCUCACCUAGGCGACGAUACAUAGCCGACCUGAGAGGGUGAUCGGCCACACUGGGACUGAGACACGGCCCAGACUCCUACGGGAGGCAGCAGUAGGGAAUCUUCGGCAAUGGGGGCAACCCUGGACCGAGCAACGCCGCGUGAGUGAAGAAGGUUUUCGGGAUCGUAAAGCUCUGUUGUAAGUCAAGAACGAGUGUGAGAGUGGAAAGUUCACACUGUGACGGUAGCUUACCAGAAAGGGACGGCUAUGUACGUGCCAGCAGCCGCGGUAAUACGUAGGUCCCGAGCGUUGUCCGGGAUUUAUUGGGGCGUAAAGCGAGCGCAGGCGGUUUGAUAAGUCUGAAGUUAAAGGCUGUGGCUCAACCAUAGUUCGCUUUGGAAACUGUCAAACUUGAGUGCAGAAGGGGGAGAGUGGGAUUCCAUGUGUAGGCGAUGAAAUGCGUAGAUAUAUGGGAGGAACACCGGGGGGCGAAAGCGCUCCUCU
rnacentral:rRNA from 1 species